rnacentral:rRNA from 1 species
GUUGUAUGGUUAAGUGACUAAGCGUACACGGUGGAUGCCUUGGCAGUCAGAGGCGAUGAAAGACGUAGUAACUUGCGAUAAGCCCAGAUUAGGUAGUAACAACCAUUUGAGUCUGGGAUUUCUGAAUGGGGAAACCCACGUGCAUAAGCACGUAUCCUUACCUGAAUACAUAGGGUAAGGAGGCGAACCGGGGGAACUGAAACAUCUAAGUACCCCGAGGAAAAGAAAUCAACCGAGAUUCCGAAAGUAGCGGCGAGCGAAAUUGGACUAGCCCUUAAGCUUUACACGCGUUAGACGAACGGUCUGGAAAGUCCGACGAUACAGGGUGAUAGUCCCGUAGUUGACGACGUGUGUUCAGUGAAAUCGAGUAGGGCGGGACACGUGAUAUCCUGUCUGAAUAUGGGGGGACCAUCCUCCAAGGCUAAAUACUACUGACUGACCGAUAGUGAACCAGUACCGUGAGGGAAAGGCGAAAAGAACCCCUGUGAGGAGAGUGAAAUAGAACCUGAAACCGUGUACGUACAAGCAGUAGGAGCACCUUCGUGGUGUGACUGCGUACCUUUUGUAUAAUGGGUCAGCGACUUAUAUUCAGUGGCAAGGUUAACCAUCUAGGGGAGCCGUAGGGAAACCGAGUCUUAACUGGGCGUUCAGUCUCUGGAUAUAGACCCGAAACCAGGUGAUCUAGCCAUGGGCAGGUUGAAGGUUGAGUAACAUCAACUGGAGGACCGAACCGACUAAUGUUGAAAAAUUAGCGGAUGACUUGUGGCUAGGGGUGAAAGGCCAAUCAAACCUGGAGAUAGCUGGUUCUCCCCGAAAGCUAUUUAGGUAGUGCCUCGGACGAAUACUACUGGGGGUAGAGCACUGUUAAGGCUAGGGGGUCAUCCCGACUUACCAACCCUUUGCAAACUCCGAAUACCAGUAAGUACUAUCCGGGAGACACACGGCGGGUGCUAACGUCCGUCGUGGAGAGGGAAACAACCCAGACCGCCAGCUAAGGUCCCAAAUUACUACUAAGUGGGAAACGAUGUGGGAAGGCUCAGACAGCCAGGAUGUUGGCUUAGAAGCAGCCAUCAUUUAAAGAAAGCGUAAUAGCUCACUGGUCGAGUCGGCCUGCGCGGAAGAUGUAACGGGGCUAAGUAGUAAACCGAAGCUGCGGCAAUAUACUUUUGUAUAUUGGGUAGGGGAGCGUUCUGUAAGCGGUUGAAGGUGUGUGGUAACGCAUGCUGGACGUAUCAGAAGUGCGAAUGCUGACAUGAGUAACGAUAAAGGGGGUGAAAAACCCCCUCGCCGGAAGACCAAGGGUUCCUGUCCAACGUUAAUCGGGGCAGGGUAAGUCGACCCCUAAGGCGAGGCCGAAAGGCGUAGUCGAUGGGAAACGGGUUAAUAUUCCCGUACUUCUUACAAUUGCGAUGGGGGGACGGAGAAGGCUAGGUGGGCCUGGCGACGGUUGUCCAGGUUCAAGUGCGUAGGCUUAAGAGUUAGGUAAAUCCGGCUCUUUUUAAGGCUGAGACACGACGUCGAGCACCUACGGGUGUGAAGUCAUUGAUGCCAUGCUUCCAGGAAAAGCCUCUAAGCUUCAGAUUGUAAGGAAUCGUACCCCAAACCGACACAGGUGGUCGGGUAGAGAAUACCAAGGCGCUUGAGAGAACUCGGGUGAAGGAACUAGGCAAAAUGGUACCGUAACUUCGGGAGAAGGUACGCUCUCGACGGUGAAGUCCCUUGCGGAUGGAGCUAUUGAGAGUCGCAGAUACCAGGUGGUUGCAACUGUUUAUUAAAAACACAGCACUGUGCAAAAUCGUAAGAUGACGUAUACGGUGUGACGCCUGCCCGGUGCCGGAAGGUUAAUUGAUGGGGUUAGACUUCGGUCGAAGCUCUUGAUCGAAGCCCCGGUAAACGGCGGCCGUAACUAUAACGGUCCUAAGGUAGCGAAAUUCCUUGUCGGGUAAGUUCCGACCUGCACGAAUGGCGUAAUGAUGGCCACGCUGUCUCCACCCGAGACUCAGUGAAAUUGAAAUCGCUGUGAAGAUGCAGUGUACCCGCGGCUAGACGGAAAGACCCCGUGAACCUUUACUACAGCUUGGCACUGAACAUUGACCCUACAUGUGUAGGAUAGGUGGGAGGCUUUGAAGCACGUACGCCAGUAUGUGUGGAGCCGUCCUUGAAAUACCACCCUUGUAGUGUUGAUGUUCUAACGUCGACCCCUUAUCGGGGUUGCGGACAGUGCCUGGUGGGUAGUUUGACUGGGGCGGUCUCCUCCCAAAGAGUAACGGAGGAGCACGAAGGUGGGCUAAUCACGGUUGGACAUCGUGAGGUUAGUGCAAUGGCAUAAGCCCGCUUGACUGCGAGAAUGACAAUUCGAGCAGGUGCGAAAGCAGGUCAUAGUGAUCCGGUGGUUCUGAAUGGAAGGGCCAUCGCUCAACGGAUAAAAGGUACUCCGGGGAUAACAGGCUGAUACCGCCCAAGAGUUCAUAUCGACGGCGGUGUUUGGCACCUCGAUGUCGGCUCAUCACAUCCUGGGGCUGAAGUCGGUCCCAAGGGUAUGGCUGUUCGCCAUUUAAAGUGGUACGCGAGCUGGGUUUAGAACGUCGUGAGACAGUUCGGUCCCUAUCUGCCGUGGGCGUUGGAAGAUUGAAGGGGGCUGCUCCUAGUACGAGAGGACCGGAGUGGACGAACCUCUGGUGUUCGGGUUGUGUCGCCAGACGCAUUGCCCGGUAGCUAAGUUCGGAAUCGAUAACCGCUGAAAGCAUCUAAGCGGGAAGCGAGCCCUGAGAUGAGUCUUCCCUGAUACUUUAAGUAUCCUAAAGGGUUGUCGGAGACUACGACGUUGAUAGGUCAGGUGUGUAAGUGCUGUGAGGCAUUGAGCUAACUGAUACUAAUUGCCCGUGAGGCUUAACCAUACAACACCCAAGGGGUUU